CCUACGGGAGACAGCAGUGAGGAAUAUUGGUCAAUGGACGCAAGUCUGAACCAGCCAUGCCGCGUGCAGGAAGACGGCUCUAUGAGUUGUAAACUGCUUUUGUACGAGGGUAAAUCCCGAUACGUGUAUCGUGUUGAAAGUAUCGUACGAAUAAGGAUCGGCUAACUCCGUGCCAGCAGCCGCGGUAAUACGGAGGAUUCAAGCGUUAUCCGGCUUUAUUGGGUUUAAAGGGUGCGUAGGCGGGUCGAUAAGUUAGAGGUGAAAUCCCGGGGCUCAACUCCGGCACUGCCUCUGAUACUGUCGGGCUAGAGUUUAGUUGCGGUAGGCGGAAUGUAUGGUGUAGCGGUGAAAUGCAUAGAGAUCAUACAGAACACCGAUUGCGAAGGCAGCUUACCAAACUACGACUGACGUUGAGGCACGAAAGCGUGGGGAGCAAACAGGAUUAGAUACCCGAGUAGUC
rnacentral:rRNA from 1 species